rnacentral:rRNA from 1 species
AGUGAACGCUGGCGGCAGGCCUAACACAUGCAAGUCGAACGGACGCACAGUAAGAGCUUGCGCUUACGGGUGGCGAGUGACGGACGGGUGAGGCAUGCAUCGGAUACCACUUUUACGUGGGUGAUAACGUAGGGAAACUUCUGCUACUACAGCAUAUGUCGUACUGGUGAAAGCAGGGGUUCUAUGGACUUUUCGCGAUUGUAAGAGCCGAUGUCGGAUCAGCUAGUUGGCUGGGUAAAGGCACACCAAGGCGACGAUCCGUAGCUGGUCUGAGAGGAUGAUCGGCUACACGGGAACUGAGACACGGUCCCGACUCCUACGGGAGGCCGCAGUGGGGAAUCUUGGGCAAUGGGCGCAAGCCUGAUCCAGCCAUACCGCGUGAGUGAUGAAGGACUUAGGGUUGUAAAACCCUUUUGUUGGGAAAGAACAAAAGCGCGUUAAUCUCCGGCUGUUAUGACGGUACCCAAAGAAUAAGCCCCGGCUAACUUCGUG